rnacentral:rRNA from 1 species
CGGACGGGUGAGUAAUGUCUGGGAAACUGCCUGAUGGAGGGGGAUAACUACUGGAAACGGUAGCUAAUACCGCAUAACGUCGCAAGACCAAAGAGGGGGACCUUCGGGCCUCUUGCCAUCGGAUGUGCCCAGAUGGGAUUAGCUAGUAGGUGGGGUAACGGCUCACCUAGGCGACGAUCCUUAGCUGGUCUGAGAGGAUGACCAGCCACACUGGAACUGAGACACGGUCCAG